UUUACAUUAAUUGUUUUAUAGAUGUUGGAAAAGAAAGGAGUAAAAGCAAGGUGUGGAGUUAUUUUGAUUUCACACACUUAAAUAUAGUGUUAAUAUAUAUAUUUAAUUUAAUAUCAUCUUUUACUUUUUUAUUUAAAAAGUUUUGUGUGUUUAUUUUAAUUUUUUUUGUUUGCUUGUAAGUUAAAUGUUCUUAAAUAUAGAAACUUUAAUAAAAUAAGUUUUUCAAAUUGAUUUGACAAUGUUGCACUUUUUGACAAAAUAUCGGUCAAAACAUCGGUAAUCGGUGGGCUAGGACUCUCCAAAAUCGGGAUUGGCACCGGACCCAAAAAUCUGGCAUCGGUCGGGCUCUAUUAUGUACUGUUGGCCAUGCUCAAUUUUUGCCAUCUCCCUUCACAACAGGUGAAAAGAAAACAAUUGCAUCAUACAAAGACAGCGUGCAGCACAGCAUGCAGCAUAACGUAAGUACAUCAAAACUGUCACUGGGAAUUAAAUUUGAUUUGAUUCCAAAUUUAUCAAAUUAACCCACUUCCAUGUGUGCCAACUUGGUCUGCCUCCUUGUCUGGGCCAUGACUUAUUUGAGGGUAUCGUCGCAUAUGACUUCGCUCUAUACCUAAGUCAUUUUGUCACAAAUCAGAAAUUCUUCACGUAUAGAGAACUGAAUGGACAGCUUAAUCACUUCAGGUACCUCGGCGAUGACGCCAGCAAUAAGCCAUGCGAAAUGAAUCCAGGAAGUGAGAAAUUGAGUGGACAUGCUGUCCAGAAUUGGUGUUUCCUUAGACUUCUGCCUCUCUUGAUUGGGGACAGAAUUUUAAAUCCAGUUGAAAAUGAAGUUUGGCAAUUUGUGUUGCUGCUAAGGCAAAAAGUUGAAAUUGUUUGUGCUCCUGCCAUUGCAACUAGUCAGAUGGCCUACUUGAAAGUCCUUAUUGAGGAGUAUUUGCCGAGUCGACAGUAUUGUUUUCCUAAUCACCCACUUAAGCCGAAACAUCAUGUAACCCGUUGGAAAAAUAGCAACGUUUUAAAAGAGUCCUGUAGCUUUAAGAAAAGGGAGGCUCCCUACCUAACUUGUUAGGAGGACUUGUUUUGAAUCCCUAAUUAGUUUUAUUGGCUGUAACAGGCAGUAAUGUCUUAAGAUCAUUCUGGAAAAUAGUUAGCCCCGCCCACUCCCAGGGACUUGGUUGAGACUGUUUGUCGCACAGCAAGAGGGGAGAACGGGAGAAAGAAAAAGACGAUUAGAAGUAAAAAAUCAUAAUCGUUAAUUUAAGCAGUAAACCUAAAGAGUAGCUCCCUAAAUGACCCACGGACCAAAUAUUUUCCAGAUCGCACACUUCAAUCUCUUUCCUUGGGAUCUUGGCUGGGUUUUUUGGAUACCUGAGAAGAAACCUGUGAACCUAGGAUUCUCUCCCUGACGAGGGAGAUGGCGAGCCGACCAGCUUGAUCAACUUGAUUCAUCUUCAUCCAUUGAGGAAGAACCCCCUGAUACCCCUUGUUUCUCCCAACCCCACUCUGGUGUGAAUGUCUGAUAUAAGUGAGAGCAUCAAGGACGCAGUCAUUUCUGUCCUGCCAAGUGUGCCAGAAGAAACGAUCUUACACCAGGGAGUGGAAAGCAAAGAUGACUUGCAGUACAUAAGAGAACAGGAAAUUGCCGAGGUUAAUCGACCAAUCCAGUGCAGAAAACAUUUAAAUGCAUGGAAAUGAGCAGAAUGUCUGAUAUAAGUGAGAGCAUCAAGGACGCAGUCAUUUCUGUCCUGCCAAGUGUGCCAGAAGAAACGAUCUUACACCAGGGAGUGGAAAGCAAAGAUGACUUGCAGUACAUAAGAGAACAGGAAAUUGCAGAGGUUAAUCGACCAAUCCAGUGCAGAAAACAUUUAAAUGCAUGGAAAUGAGCAGAUGCUAUAAGUUGUGCUACCCCCCUACUCCAGUCCCCAGAUGGCAGUUCAUCACUGUCAAGCUCCUUGAGAUCCAGUAGCCCUUCACCAUCACAUUCCAUACGGCCACCAGUAAAGCAAAAAUGGCCAGAAACGUUCCAGGUACCCCAGGCAACCCUGUACUUUGAGUAUUUUUUGUUGCAGCUGGCUAGAGUGUCGCCGGAUUGCGCAGGUGAAAAGAAAACAAUUGCAUCAUACAAAGACAGCAUGCAGCAGAGCAUGCAGCAUAACGUAAGUACAUCAAAAACUGUCACUGGGAAUUAAAUUUGAUUUGAUUCCAAAUUUAUCAAAUUAACCCACUUCCAUGUGUGCCAACUUGGUCUGCCUCCUUGUCUGGGCCAUGACUUAUUUGAGGGUAUCGUCGCAUAUGACUUCGCUCUAUACCUAAGUCAUUUUGUCACAAAUCAGAAAUUCUUCACGUAUAGAGAACUGAAUGGACA